CUACGAAGCAGGUCUUUGCGAUACCUGCUUCUACGGAAGCUCUGACAAUACUUUGUUUUUUUCCGACCUUUCAUCGUUCCAGACUCACCUACCUUUCAUCAUACGAUCGGACCUGGCUCGUGUCUGACGCCAUCUGAGACCAGGA